rnacentral:rRNA from 1 species
UACGGAGGGUGCAAGCGUUAUCCGGAUUCACUGGGUUUAAAGGGUGCGUAGGUGGGCAGGUAAGUCAGUGGUGAAAUCUCCGAGCUUAACUCGGAAACUGCCGUUGAUACUAUUUGUCUUGAAUAUUGUGGAGGUAAGCGGAAUAUGUCAUGUAGCGGUGAAAUGCUUAGACAUGACAUAGAACACCAAUUGCGAAGGCAGCUUACUACACAACGAUUGACGCUGAGGCACGAAAGCGUGGGGAUCAAACAGG